rnacentral:rRNA from 1 species
GCGUGCGCAGGCGGUUAUAUAAGACAGUUGUGAAAUCCCCGGGCUCAACCUGGGAACUGCAUCUGUGACUGUAUAGCUAGAGUACGGUAGAGGGGGAUGGAAUUCCGCGUGUAGCAGUGAAAUGCGUAGAUAUGCGGAGGAACACCGAUGGCGAAGGCAAUCCCCUGGACCUGUACUGACGCUCAUGCACGAAAGCGUGGGGAGCAAACAGGAUUAGAUACCCUGGUAGUCCACGCCCUAAACGAUGUCAACUGGUUGUUGGGUCUUCACUGACUCAGUAACGAAGCUAACGCGUGAAGU